rnacentral:rRNA from 1 species
GACGAACGCUGGCGGCGUGCUUAACACAUGCAAGUCGGACGGGCAGCACCGGAAGGUUCGCUGGAAGGUGCUGUUAGUGGCGGACGGGUGAGUAACGCGUGAGGACAUGGCUCCAGGAGGGGGGAUAACGUUUGGAAACGGACGCUAAGACCCCGUAUGCCGGAGGGUGAAAAUGGCGCAAGCCAGCCUGGAGAGUGACUCGCGUCCUAUCAGCUAGUUGGCGGGGUGAAGGCCCACCAAGGCGAUGACGGGUAGCCGACCUGAGAGGGUGGCCGGCCACACUGGAACUGAGAUACGGUCCAGACUCCUACGGGAGGCAGCAGUGGGGAAUAUUGGGCAAUGGGCGCAAGCCUGACCCAGCGACGCCGCGUGGGGGAAGAAGGCCCUCGGGUCGUAAAGCUCUUUCGGCCGGGAAGAAAUCGCACAGGUUAAUACCCUGUGUGGAUGACGGUACCGGAAUAAGAAGCACCGGCUAACUACGUGCCAGCAGCCGCGGUAAAAGUCUAGCAUG